rnacentral:snRNA from 1 species
AUCCCCUUUCCUUCCAGAUACAGUGUAGUAUCUGUUCUUAUCAGUUUAAUAUCUGAUAUGUCCUUGAUGAGAGGACUUUAUAUUAAAUGGAUUUUUGGGCUCGGGAGUUGGAUCUGGAGCUUGCUUUUUUUUUUUUUUUUUUUUUUUUUUUUCCGGGCCCAAAGAGUUGUGGUGACUGGAG